rnacentral:tRNA from 2 species
CUGAACAGGCGGGCCUCGAUCCCACG